rnacentral:ncRNA from 1 species
CUCUUAUCAUGAGUUGGCGGAGGGAAUUGGCCCUACGAAGCCCAGCAACCGGCCGAAAUACCAUUGUGAUAUGGGGCGCUAUAUGCGCCAUUAACGUUAAGGCACGGUGCUACAUCCACCAGAAAGCAGUUGCUUUCUGAAAGAUAAGAG